AAUCUAGGAUUAUGUGCGAAAGUCUGUUCCAGCUAUGCAGAUUGUCUGCAUAAGGUCUGCGUGUUGUACUGGACUUUGAGUUGGGAGGUAGUGCUUUAGGUUAAUACCCUGAAGUUAUGAAGUUAACAACCGCAUGAUCACAGGCUAUCUAUGUUCCACUAGCCGCGGUAAUACGGAGGGUGUAAGCGUUAAUCGGAAUUACUGUGCGUAAAGCUCGCGUAGGUGGUUCAAUAAGAUGAGUGUGAAAUCCCCGGGCUUAACCUGGGAACUGCUUUCAUAACUGCUGAGCUAGAGUACGGUAGAAGGUAGUAGAAUUUCCUGUGUAGCGGUGAAAUGAGUAGUUAGAGGAAGGAACACCAGUGGCAAAGGCGACUACCUGGACUGAUACUGACACUGAGGUACGAAAGCGUGGGGAGCAAACAG
rnacentral:rRNA from 1 species